rnacentral:lncRNA from 1 species
UUCUAUUAUGUUAUUGAUCAAUUGCAUUCAUAUUUAAUUUUCUGUUAUUGCAUNUGAAACCAAUGAUCUCAUUUUCUUUAAGUCUUAAUUAAUCUUGUUAUUAAACGAUUGUUUAGCACCGAGAGUCUUCUGGGAUACGAUACUUGGUCUUACCAUUUUAUAUUACUUGUUCGACUCGGUACACUUGUCGAUCCAGCGAAAACUGUUGCAUAAUAUGCCAGGGUGNGUCUAUUAUUCUGAUUCUCAGCCAUAUCUUCAGUUUCCUCAUCAGAUUGAGUAAAAUGUGGUUCAAGAGAUUCAGAAGAGGGAAAUAGUUCUCUGGAUGUCCUGUUCUUCCUUCUUCUUCUACUAUUCUCUAAACCUGUAAAAAAAGGUUAUAAAAAUUUUGUGCUUCUAGUCUGAAUUGAACCCUGCAUACAUUAGAGAACAACACACUAGAACACCAAGUUAGCCUUAAAAAAAUAAAAAAAAAAUAAAAAACAAUAUAAUCAAAACUAAUUAAGAAUCACACAAAAGUAUAGUUCAACCACGAGUUCCUGGCAACGGUGCCAAAAACUUAUUAAGACCUCGGCAAGUGUACCGAAUCGUAUCAAGUAAUAUAAAAUGGUAAGAUCAAGUAUCAUAUCCCAGAAGACUC